rnacentral:tRNA from 1 species
AGUAAUGUGUCUGACUUAAGUAAUAAACUGUAAAUUUAUUCAUAAGAUUUUUUAAUCUUCAUUACUA